UACAGAGACUGCAAGCGUUAUUCGGAUUCACUGGGCGUAAAGGGUGCGCAGGCGGCCAAGUGUGUGAGGCGUGAAAGCCUGGAGCUUAACUCCAGAAUUGCACCUCAAACUACAUGGCUAGAGCAUUGGAGAGGGUAGCGGAAUUCACGGUGUAGCAGUGAAAUGCGUAGAUAUCGUGAGGAAUACCAGAGGCGAAGGCGGCUACCUGGACAAUUGCUGACGCUCAGGCACGAAAGCGUGGGGAGCAAAAGGG
rnacentral:rRNA from 1 species